rnacentral:rRNA from 1 species
GAUGAACGCUGGCGGCGUGCCUAAUACAUGCAAGUCGAGCGAACAGAUAAGGAGCUUGCUCCUUUGACGUUAGCGGCGGACGGGUGAGUAACACGUGGGUAACCUACCUAUAAGACUGGGAUAACUUCGGGAAACCGGAGCUAAUACCGGAUAAUAUUUCGAACCGCAUGGUUCGAUAGUGAAAGAUGGUUUUGCUAUCACUUAUAGAUGGACCCGCGCCGUAUUAGCUAGUUGGUAAGGUAACGGCUUACCAAGGCGACGAUACGUAGUCGACCUGAGAGGGUGAUCGGCCACACUGGAACUGAGACACGGUCCAGACUCCUACGGGAGGCAGCAGUAGGGAAUCUUCCGCAAUGGGCGAAAGCCUGACGGAGCAACGCCGCGUGAGUGAUGAAGGUCUUCGGAUCGUAAAACUCUGUUAUUAGGGAAGAACAUACGUGUAAGUAACUGUGCACGUCUUGACGGUACCUAAUCAGAAAGCCACGGCUAACUACGUGCCAGCAGCCGCGGUAAUACGUAGGUGGCAAGCGUUAUCCGGAAUUAUUGGGCGUAAAGCGCGCGUAGGCGGUUUUUUAAGUCUGAUGUGAAAGCCCACGGCUCAACCGUGGAGGGUCAUUGGAAACUGGAAAACUUGAGUGCAGAAGAGGAAAGUGGAAUUCCAUGUGUAGCGGUGAAAUGCGCAGAGAUAUGGAGGAACACCAGUGGCGAAGGCGACUUUCUGGUCUGUAACUGACGCUGAUGCGCGAAAGCGUGGGGAUCAAACAGGAUUAGAUACCCUGGUAGUCCACGCCGUAAACGAUGAGUGCUUAGUGUUAAGGGGUUUCCGCCCCUUAUUGCUGCAGCUAACGCAUUAAGCACUCCGCCUGGGGAGUACGACCGCAAGGUUGAAACUCACAGGAAUUGCCGGGGACCCGCACAAGCGGUGGAGCAUGUGGUUUAAUUUGAAGCAACGCGAAGCACCUUAUCAACUCUUGACAUCCUUUGACAACUGUAGAGAUAGAGCUUUCCCCUUCUGGGGACAAAGUGACAGGUGGCGCAUGGUUGUAGUCAGCUCGCGUCGUGAGAUGUUGGGUUAAGUCCCGCAACGAGCGCAACCCCUAAGCUUAGUUGCCAUCACUAACUUGGGCACUCUAAGUUGACUGCCGGUGACAAACCGGAGGAAGGUGGGGAUGACGUCAAAUCAUCAUGCCCCUUAUGAUUUGGGCUACACACGUGCUACAAUGGACAAUACAAAGGGCAGCGAAACCGCGAGGUCAAGCAAAUCCCAUAAAGUUGUUCUCAGUUCGGAUUGUAGUCUGCAACUCGACUACAUGAAGCUGGAAUCGCUAGUAAUCGUAGAUCAGCAUGCUACGGUGAAUACGUUCCCGGGUCU